rnacentral:rRNA from 1 species
CCUACGGGGGGCAGCAGUGAGGAAUAUUGGUCAAUGGGCGCAAGCCUGAACCAGCCAAGUAGCGUGCAGGAUGACUGCCCUACGGGUUGUAAACUUCUUUUAUACGGGAAUAACGCGCAUUACGUAUACUGCUUUGCAUGUACCGUAUGAAUAAGGACCGGCUAAUUCCGUGCCAGCAGCCGCGGUAAUACGGAGGAUCCGAGCGUUAUCCGGAUUUAUUGGGUUUAAAGGGAGCGUAGGCGGGGUGUUAAGCCUGUUGUGAAAGUUUGCGGCUCAACCGUAAAAUUGCAGUGGAUACUGGCAUCCUUGAGUACAGUAGAGGUAGGCGGAAUUCGUGGUGUAGCGGUGAAAUGCUUAGAUAUCACGAAGAACUCCGAUUGCGAAGGCAGCCUGCUGGACUGUAACUGACGCUGAUGCUCGAAAGUGUGGGUAUCAAACAGGAUUAGAUACCCCUGUAGUC